rnacentral:rRNA from 1 species
UAAGGCUAAAUACUCCCUAGUGACCGAUAGUGAAGCAGUACCGUGAGGGAAAGGUGAAAAGCACCCCGGAAGGGGAGUGAAAAAGAACCUGAAACCGUGUGCUUACAAGAAGUCAGAGCCCGAUCUAUGGGUGAUGGCGUGCCUUUUGUAGAAUGAACCGGCGAGUUACGUUUGCAAGCAAGGUUAAGCCGAGAAGGUGGAGCCGCAGCGAAAGCGAGUCUGAAUAGGGCGAAUGAGUUUGUAGGCGUAGACCCGAAACCGUGUGAUCUACCCCUGUCCAGGGUGAAGGUGCGGUAACACGCACUGGAGGCCCGAACCCACGUACGUUGAAAAGUGCGGGGAUGAGGUGGGGGUAGCGGAGAAAUUCCAAUCGAACUCGGAGAUAGCUGGUUCUCCCCGAAAUAGCUUUAGGGCUAGCCUCGGUGGGAUAGUCGUGGAGGUAGAGCACUGAUUGGGUGCGGGGCCCGCCAAGGGUUACCAAGCUCAGUCAAACUCCGAAUGCCAUAGACUGAAUAACCGGGAGUCAGACAGUGAGUGCUAAGAUCCAUUGUCAAAAGGGAAACAGCCCAGACCAUCAGCUAAGGUCCCCAAGUGUGUGUUAAGUGGGAAAGGAUGUGGAGUUGCACAGACAACCAGGAUGUUGGCUUAGAAGCAGCCACCAUUUAAAGAGUGCGUAAUAGCUCACUGGUCGAGUGACUCUGCGCCGAAAAUGUAACGGGGCUAAACACACCACCGAAGCUAUGGCUUGAUGCAUUGCAUCAGGGGUAGGGGAGCGUUGAAUACGGGUUGAAGCUAGACCGGAAGGACUGGUGGACUGUAUUCAAGUGAGAAUGCCGGUAUGAGUAACGAAAAGAUCAGUGAGAAUCUGAUCCGCCGAAAGCCUAAGGGUUCCUGAGGAAGGUUCGUCCGCUCAGGGUAAGUCGGGACCUAAGGCGAGGCCGAAAGGCGUAGUCGAAGGACAACAGGUUUAAAUUCCUGUACCACCGUAAUCCGUUAUGAGCGAUGGGGUGACGCAGUAGGGUAGUGACGCGGGGCGAUGGAAUGCCCCGUCCAAGCAGUGAGGCUGGUGUGUAGGCAAAUCCGCACAUCGUAAGGCUGGGCUGUGAUGGGGAGGGAAAAUUUACAGUACCGAAGGUCAUGAUCUCACACUGCCAAGAAAAGCCUCUAGUCAGGAGAAGGUGCCCGUACCGCAAACCGACACAGGUAGGCGAGAAGAGAAUUCUAAGGCGCGCGGAAGAACUCUCGUUAAGGAACUCGGCAAAAUGACCCCGUAACUUCGGGAGAAGGGGUGCCCCGGUAGAGUGAAUAGCUCGAGGGGGCCGCAGUGAAAAGGCCCAAGCGACUGUUUAGCAAAAACACAGGUCUGUGCGAAGCCGCAAGGCGAAGUAUACGGGCUGACGCCUGCCCGGUGCUGGAAGGUUAAGGGGAGUGGUUAGGGGUUUACCCCGAAGCUAUGAACCGAAGCCCCAGUAAACGGCGGCCGUAACUAUAACGGUCCUAAGGUAGCGAAAUUCCUUGUCAGGUAAAUUCUGACCCGCACGAAUGGCGUAACGACUUGGGCGCUGUCUCAACGAGAGAUCCGGUGAAAUUUUAAUACCUGUGAAGAUGCAGGUUACCCGCGACAAGACGGAAAGACCCCAUGGAGCUUUACUGCAGCUUGAUAUUGGACUUUGAUACGAUUUGUACAGGAUAGGUGGGAGCCUAGGAAGCCGGAGCGCCAGCUUCGGUGGAGGCGCCGUUGGGAUACCACCCUGAUCGUAUCGGAGUUCUAACCUGGUACCGUGAUCCGGUAUGGGGACAGUGUCAGGCGGGCAGUUUGACUGGGGCGGUCGCCUCCUAAAGAGUAACGGAGGCGCCCCAAGGUUCCCUCAGAAUGGUUGGAAAUCAUUCGAAGAGUGCAAAGGCAAAAGGGAGCUUGACUGCGAGACUGACAAGUCGAGCAGGGACGAAAGUCGGGCUUAGUGAUCCGGUGGUACCGCAUGGAAGGGCCAUCGCUCAACGGAUAAAAGCUACCCUGGGGAUAACAGGCUUAUCUCCCCCAAGAGUCCACAUCGACGGGGAGGUUUGGCACCUCGAUGUCGGCUCAUCGCAUCCUGGGGCUGAAGUAGGUCCCAAGGGUUGGGCUGUUCGCCCAUUAAAGCGGUACGCGAGCUGGGUUCAGAACGUCGUGAGACAGUUCGGUCCCUAUCUGUCGUGGGCGUAGGAAAUUUGAGAGGAGCUGUCCUUAGUACGAGAGGACCGGGAUGGACGCACCGCUGGUGCACCAGUUGUUCCGCCAGGAGCACAGCUGGGUAGCUAAGUGCGGACGGGAUAAGCGCUGAAAGCAUCUAAGCGUGAAGCCCCCCUCAAGAUGAGAUUUCCCAAUUAGUAAGACCCCUUGAAGACGACGAGGUUGAUAGGCCUGAGGUGGAAGUGCAGCAAUGUAUGGAGCUGACAGGUACUAAUCGGUCGAGGGCUUA